ACGGGCCGGCAGACGGUCGCGUCACCUCCGCGAGGGGGUGCCGAGGAACGUCCGGGCUCCACAGAGCAGGGCGGUGGGCAACACCCACCCGGGGUGACCCGCGAGAAAGUGCAACAGAGAGCAGACCGCCUCGGACCGGCUCCUUCGGGAACCGGACCGCGGUAAGGGUGAAACGGUGGUGUAAGAGACCACCAGGGGCCCGAGCGAUCGGGCUCGCUGGGUAAACCUCGCCCGGAGCAAGGUCAGACAGACACCGAUGAAGCGGCUCGCCGAGGUGUCGGGUAGACCGCUGGAGGGCUGCGGCGACGCAGCCCCGAGAUAGAUGGCCGUCACGGAGAGAUCCGUACAGAACCCGGCGUAUCGCCGGCCCGUUCCU
rnacentral:RNase_P_RNA from 1 species